rnacentral:rRNA from 1 species
UACAGAGGGUGCAAGCGUUAAUCGGAAUUACUGGGCGUAAAGCGUGCGUAGACGGUUACAUAAGUCGGGUGUGAAAGCCCCGGGCUCAACCUGGGAAUUGCAUUCGAGACUGCGUAGCUAGGGUGCGGAAGAGGGAAGCGGAAUUUCCGGUGUAGCGGUGAAAUGCGUAGAUAUCGGGAGGAACACCAGUGGCGAAGGCGGCUUCCUGGCCUGUUCUUGACGCUGAGGCGCGAAAGCUAGGGGAGCAAACGGG